rnacentral:rRNA from 1 species
UGGGGAAUCUUGCACAAUGGGCGCAAGCCUGAUGCAGCAACGCCGCGUGAGUGAAGAAGGCUCUUGGGUCGUAAAGCUCUUUCGGCUGGGAAGAAGGGGACCUUGGUAAAUAAUCAAGGAUCUUGACGGUACCAGAAGAAGAAGCACCGGCUAACUCCGUGCCAGCAGCCGCGGUAAUACGGAGGGUGCAAGCGUUGUUCGGAAUCACUGGGCGUAAAGCGCACGUAGGCUGGUUUGUAAGCCGAUUGUGAAAGCCCAGGGCUUAACCUUGGAAUUGCAGUCGGAACUACAGAUCUUGAAUGCUCGAGAGGGUGGGGGAAUUCCUGGUGUAGAAGUGAAAUUCGUAGAUA